rnacentral:rRNA from 1 species
UACGGGGGGGGCAAGCGUUGUUCGGAAUUACUGGGCGUAAAGCGCACGUAGGCGGCUACUCAAGUCAGAGGUGAAAGCCCAGGGCUCAACCUUGGAACUGCCUUUGAAACUAGGUAGCUAGAAUUCUGGAGAGGUCAGUGGAAUUCCGAGUGUAGAGGUGAAAUUCGUAGAUAUUCGGAAGAACACCAGUGGCGAAGGCGACUGACUGGACAGAUAUUGACGCUGAGGUGCGAAAGCGUGGGGAGCAAACAGG